AGAUAAUAGAUACCCGGUAGUCCUGGCAGUAAACGGUGCGCGUUUGGUGUGGGAGGAUUCGACCCCUUCUGUGCCGGAGCUAAACGCGUUAAACGCGCCGCCUGGGGAGUACGGUCGCAAGAUUAAAACUACAAAGAAAUUGACGGGGGCCCGGCACAAGCGGUGGAGUAUGUGGCUUAAUUCGAUGCAACGCGAAGAACCUUACCUAGCCUUGACAUGCAUCUCUAAGUCGGUGGAAGCCGGCGACUAUAGCAAUAUAGAAUUUGUCACAGGUGCUGCAUGGCUGUCGUCAGCUCGUGUCGUGAGAUGUUGGGUUAAGUUCCCGCAACGAGCGCAACCCCUGUGAACUGUUGCCACCUACAUUCGUGUAGAGCACUCUGUUCAGACUGCCCUGUG
rnacentral:rRNA from 1 species